GACGAACGCUGGCGGCGUGCCUAAUACAUGCAAGUAGGACGCAGUUGCGAACGGGUGAGUAACGCGAAGGUAACUACCUAUUAGAGGGGGAUAACUAAUGGAAACGAUAGCUAAUACCGCAUCCUAGUAGAUGUACCUGCGUUGUAUUAGCUAGUAGGUAGGGUAAUGGCCUACCUAGGCAACGAUACAUAGCCGACCGUAGAGGGUUAGCAGCCACACUGGGACUGGGACCCGGGCCAGACUCCUACGGGCGGUAGCAGUAGGGAAUCUUAGGCAAUGGGGGGAACCCUGACCGAGCAACGGCGGGGGAGUGAAGAAGGUUGUCGGAUCGUAAAGCUCUUUUGUUAAGGAAGCGUUACUUAACCAGAAAGGGACGGCUAACUACGUGCCAGCAGCCGCGGUAAUUC
rnacentral:rRNA from 1 species